AUAUUUUGACCCCCAACUUUCCUAAAAUUAUAUUUUAACCCCUAACUUUUCUAAAAUUACAUUUGACCCCUAAUUUUCCUAAAAUUACAUUUUAACCCUAAUUUUUUUCUAAAAUUAUAUUUUUUCCCUAGAAGUUUUGCAUCAUUUAUAAUUUGGUCCUUCUAGCACAAAAUCACCAACCGCCAGGCGUGAUUUGCGCACCUACCCCCCGAUUUUUCAGUAGUCGGCCUAGGGUGGUGGCCCUCCUCCCAAGCUACCUGCUCUCUAAAAAAAUCAACAAUAAAAGGGGGUUUUUCCCCCCAAAAAAUUCAGCAACCAAAGAGGAAAAAAGCAAGCAAAAUAAAAAUAAAAAAAAACACAGCCAAAAUUGAAACAAAAAAUAGGAAAAAACACUUCAAAUUCGGUCGGCUUCCUCUUACCACUGCCGUGGCCACCAAGGGACGAAAGAUUGAUCGGAGUGGGCGGCGACUACUUUAGCUUUCAGGCUUUCAAAAGAAAAAGAAAAAGAAAGAAGAGAAAAGAGAGGGGAAAUGCCGGUAGCCGUCGCACUGUCGACCAAGGAGACGGCGGGGGCAGUGAAUGAGGUUAGGGUUUGAAAAGAAGAAGAAAAAAGAAAACAAAAAGAAAACAAAAAGAAAGAAGAAGGAAAAAAAGAGAAGAAAGAAAAAAAAAUGGGGAAGAAGGCCCAUUCGGCAUAGGAUCAGGCCCAUAAUUUUGGGCUUUCGAUAAUUUUUUUACCCACUUUUAAUUUUUUCCAUGUAUUGUGAUGACAUCUCGAUUUUAAUAUUAUUGGCAUUUUUUUAAAACAUUUUUAUUUUUUUAAUUUUAGAAAUAUUUU
rnacentral:lncRNA from 1 species